rnacentral:rRNA from 1 species
CGAUUUCCGAAUGGGGAAACCCAGUGUGUUUCGACACACUAUCAUUAACUGAAUCCAUAGGUUAAUGAGGCGAACCGGGGGAACUGAAACAUCUAAGUACCCCGAGGAAAAGAAAUCAACCGAGAUUCCCCCAGUAGCGGCGAGCGAACGGGGAGCAGCCCAGAGCCUGAAUCAGUGUGUGUGUUAGUGGAAGCGUCUGGAAAGACGCGCGAUACAGGGUGACAGCCCCGUACACAAAAAUGCACAUGCUGUGAGCUCGAUGAGUAGGGCGGGACACGUGGUAUCCUGUCUGAAUAUGGGGGGACCAUCCUCCAAGGCUAAAUACUCCUGACUGACCGAUAGUGAACCAGUACCGUGAGGGAAAGGCGAAAAGAACCCCGGCGAGGGGAGUGAAAAAGAACCUGAAACCGUGUACGUACAAGCAGUGGGAGCACGCUUAGGCGUGUGACUGCGUACCUUUUGUAUAAUGGGUCAGCGACUUAUAUUCUGUAGCAAGGUUAACCGAAUAGGGGAGCCGAAGGGAAACCGAGUCUUAACUGGGCGUUAAGUUGCAGGGUAUAGACCCGAAACCCGGUGAUCUAGCCAUGGGCAGGUUGAAGGUUGGGUAACACUAACUGGAGGACCGAACCGACUAAUGUUGAAAAAUUAGCGGAUGACUUGUGGCUGGGGGUGAAAGGCCAAUCAAACCGGGAGAUAGCUGGUUCUCCCCGAAAGCUAUUUAGGUAGCGCCUCGUGAAUUCAUCUCCGGGGGUAGAGCACUGUUUCGGCAAGGGGGUCAUCCCGACUUACCAACCCGAUGCAAACUGCGAAUACCGGAGAAUGUUAUCACGGGAGACACACGGCGGGUGCUAACGUCCGUCGUGAAGAGGGAAACAACCCAGACCGCCAGCUAAGGUCCCAAAGUCAUGGUUAAGUGGGAAACGAUGUGGGAAGGCCCAGACAGCCAGGAUGUUGGCUUAGAAGCAGCCAUCAUUUAAAGAAAGCGUAAUAGCUCACUGGUCGAGUCGGCCUGCGCGGAAGAUGUAACGGGGCUAAACCAUGCACCGAAGCUGCGGCAGCGACGCUGAUGCGUUGUUGGGUAGGGGAGCGUUCUGUAAGCCUGUGAAGGUGUGCUGUGAGGCAUGCUGGAGGUAUCAGAAGUGCGAAUGCUGACAUAAGUAACGAUAAAGCGGGUGAAAAGCCCGCUCGCCGGAAGACCAAGGGUUCCUGUCCAACGUUAAUCGGGGCAGGGUGAGUCGACCCCUAAGGCGAGGCCGAAAGGCGUAGUCGAUGGGAAACAGGUUAAUAUUCCUGUACUUGGUGUUACUGCGAAGGGGGGACGGAGAAGGCUAUGUUGGCCGGGCGACGGUUGUCCCGGUUUAAGCGUGUAGGCUGGUUUUCCAGGCAAAUCCGGAAAAUCAAGGCUGAGGCGUGAUGACGAGGCACUACGGUGCUGAAGCAACAAAUGCCCUGCUUCCAGGAAAAGCCUCUAAGCAUCAGGUAACAUCAAAUCGUACCCCAAACCGACACAGGUGGUCAGGUAGAGAAUACCAAGGCGCUUGAGAGAACUCGGGUGAAGGAACUAGGCAAAAUGGUGCCGUAACUUCGGGAGAAGGCACGCUGAUAUGUAGGUGAAGUCCCUCGCGGAUGGAGCUGAAAUCAGUCGAAGAUACCAGCUGGCUGCAACUGUUUAUUAAAAACACAGCACUGUGCAAACACGAAAGUGGACGUAUACGGUGUGACGCCUGCCCGGUGCCGGAAGGUUAAUUGAUGGGGUUAGCCGCAAGGCGAAGCUCUUGAUCGAAGCCCCGGUAAACGGCGGCCGUAACUAUAACGGUCCUAAGGUAGCGAAAUUCCUUGUCGGGUAAGUUCCGACCUGCACGAAUGGCGUAAUGAUGGCCAGGCUGUCUCCACCCGAGACUCAGUGAAAUUGAACUCGCUGUGAAGAUGCAGUGUACCCGCGGCAAGACGGAAAGACCCCGUGAACCUUUACUAUAGCUUGACACUGAACAUUGAGCCUUGAUGUGUAGGAUAGGUGGGAGGCUUUGAAGUGUGGACGCCAGUCUGCAUGGAGCCGACCUUGAAAUACCACCCUUUAAUGUUUGAUGUUCUAACGUUGACCCGUAAUCCGGGUUGCGGACAGUGUCUGGUGGGUAGUUUGACUGGGGCGGUCUCCUCCUAAAGAGUAACGGAGGAGCACGAAGGUUGGCUAAUCCUGGUCGGACAUCAGGAGGUUAGUGCAAUGGCAUAAGCCAGCUUGACUGCGAGCGUGACGGCGCGAGCAGGUGCGAAAGCAGGUCAUAGUGAUCCGGUGGUUCUGAAUGGAAGGGCCAUCGCUCAACGGAUAAAAGGUACUCCGGGGAUAACAGGCUGAUACCGCCCAAGAGUUCAUAUCGACGGCGGUGUUUGGCACCUCGAUGUCGGCUCAUCACAUCCUGGGGCUGAAGUAGGUCCCAAGGGUAUGGCUGUUCGCCAUUUAAAGUGGUACGCGAGCUGGGUUUAGAACGUCGUGAGACAGUUCGGUCCCUAUCUGCCGUGGGCGCUGGAGAACUGAGGGGGGCUGCUCCUAGUACGAGAGGACCGGAGUGGACGCAUCACUGGUGUUCGGGUUGUCAUGCCAAUGGCACUGCCCGGUAGCUAAAUGCGGAAGAGAUAAGUGCUGAAAGCAUCUAAGCACGAAACUUGCCCCGAGAUGAGUUCUCCCUGACCCUUUAAGGGUCCUGAAGGAACGUUGAAGACGACGACGUUGAUAGGCCGGGUGUGUAAGCGCAGCGAUGCGUUGAGCUAACCGGUACUAAUGAACCGUGAGGCUUAACCUU